rnacentral:rRNA from 1 species
AUUGAACGCUGGCGGCAUGCCUUACACAUGCAAGUCGAACGGUAACAGGUCUUCGGAUGCUGACGAGUGGCGAACGGGUGAGUAAUACAUCGGAACGUGCCUAGUAGUGGGGGAUAACUACUCGAAAGAGUGGCUAAUACCGCAUGAGAUCUACCGAUGAAAGCAGGGGAUCGCAAGACCUUGUGCUACUAGAGCGGCCGAUGGCAGAACAGGUAGUUGGUGGGAUAAAAGCUUACCAAACCGACGAUCUGUAGCUGGUCUGAGAGGACGAUCAGCCACACAGGGACGGAGACACUGCCCAGACUCCGACGGGAGGCAGCAGUGUGGAAUUUUGGACAAUGGGCGAAAGCCUGAUCCAGCAAUGCCGCGUGCAGGAUGAAGGCCUUCGGGUUGUAAACUGCGUUUGUACGGAACGAAAAGCCCCGGGUUAAUACCCUGGGGUCAUGACGGGACCGUAAGAAUAAGCACCGGCUAACUACGUGCCAGCAGCCGCAGUAA